GUGCAAUUGCAUUCCAGCCUGGGCAACAAGAACGAAACUCCAUCUCAAAAAAAAAAAAAAUUGAAUACUCUUCCUUUAUAAACACACAGUGAGCUCCUGGAAGAGCCCAGGUGAGACCUGGGUCAUCUGAUACCCAGAUCAGGGCACUGCUUUCUGAAGCUGCUGAUUCUGCCUGUUCUCCAUGGCCAUUCAGCUGGAUGGCUCCUCACUGACCUGGACUUUGAAACAUCAGUACGGUGACAGGCAUUUGCAGAAGCAGGAACCCAAACUGCUGUCUCUAAGGAGAGCCUCUGUGCUUGUCCUAGGGAAGUGUUUUGAUUCCCAAGGGCUUUGAGCUGCACUGUAGGCGGCCACAGAGCAGGUACAUUUCUCCUUUUCCAUGCUGCACUGCACCCUGGAAUUGGCCUGUAUGCGCUGCAUCGAGAUGCUCUUGCCCUCUGACUGCCAGCUGGGUUUGGUCCAUGUGGAGCCUGGAAUCAAAACCAGAGGGAGAAGGUGGGGACAGGGUUUAUGGUUUUUAUUCCUCCAAGUCCCUUUUUGAGCUCCUUGACUUAAAGUCCCAGCUCUAGUGAGAUCGCCCUCCACACAACCUGCCUCCAGGUGCAGAGGUGGUAAGAUCCCACUGUCACCAGCCCCAGAAUAUUCCACAUUCCAUAGCAGUUUCCCUAUAUCCUGCCUCAAAGCCCCCACUUUAAAUGUCCCCAAUUUAAUCUGUUUUCUGCUGGAUCCUGACUAAUACAAAGAGUGUAGAGAACAAGGGCAGGCCUGGGAAUCGGGAGACCUGAAUUUAAGUCUCAUCUUUGCCACCAGCUCCCUCCGUGACCCUGGGCCACAUUUU
rnacentral:lncRNA from 1 species